rnacentral:rRNA from 1 species
AGUGGCGCACGGGUGCGUAACACGUAUGCAACCUGCCCCAAACAGGGGGAUAGCCUCUCGAAAGAGAGAUUAAUACCCCAUAAUAUGUUGGUGUGGCAUCACACUGAUAUUAAAGCUGAGGCGGUUUGGGAUGGGCAUGCGGUUGAUUAGGUAGUUGGUGAGGUAACGGCUCACCAAGCCAACGAUCAAUAGGGGGUCUGAGAGGAUGUCCCCCCACACUGGUACUGAGACACGGACCAGACUCCUACGGGAGGCAGCAGUAGGGAAUAUCGGACAAUGGGGGCAACCCUGAUCCAGCCAUGCCGCGUGCAGGAAGACUGCCCUAUGGGUUGUAAACUGCUUUUGUACGGGAAGAAACCUUCGAAUGCGUUCGGAGUUGACGGUACCGUGAGAAUAAGGAUCGGCUAACUUCGUGCCAGCAGCCGCGGUAAUACGAAGGAUCCAAGCGUUGUCCGGAUUUACUGGGUUUAAAGGGUGCGUAGGCGGUUAAUUAAGUCAGUGGUGAAAGCCCUCAGCUUAACUGAGGAAUUGCCAUUGAAACUGAUUAGCUGGAGUAUGGUUGAGGUAACUGGAAUGUAACAUGUAGCGGUGAAAUGCUUAGAUAUGUUACAGAACACCGAUUGCGAAGGCAGGUUACUAAGCCAUAACUGACGCUGAGGCACGAAAGCGUGGGGAGCAAACAGGAUUAGAUACCCUGGUA